UAACCUGUACGAAUUGCCCGUGAGGCUUAACCAUACAACACCCAAGGGGUUU
rnacentral:rRNA from 1 species